CUAUAACGAAAAACUUACAGCAACAAAUAGUCUACCACUACAAGCAACAGAACUACAUGAAAAAGGUCCUAUAGCCAUAUCUAAUAACACAGCUACAACAAAUAUCUUCUAAUGGAAACGGAGAUUGAAUAAUAGAGUAACUAGUUGACUUGACUCCUACAAUCUAGGAGAUUGUUUCAACAAAUGGGACUAAUUCUUUUUUUUUUUUUUUGUCGGCUAAAUGGGACUAAUUCAAAACCCCAAAAGACUCAUUAAAAAAUGGAACGGAUGAUUUCUUCAUCAACAUUGACUUCUUGGCCGGAGAACUGAUAACUUCAAAGCUAUUUCUCGGAUUAACAAAGAGAUGCUAGCAGACGAAGAGAAAGCGCAUAGAGGAAGAAGG
rnacentral:lncRNA from 1 species